GACGAACGCUGGCGGUGUGCUUAACACAUGCAAGUCGAACGGAAAGGCGCUGCUUUUGUGGGGUGCUCGAGUGGCGAACGGGGGAGUAACACGUGAGUAAACUGCCCUUGACUUUGGGAUAACUUCAGGAAACUGGGGCUAAUACCGGAUAGGAGCUCCUGCUGCAUGGUGGGGGUUGGAAAGUUUCGGCGGUUGGGGAUGGACUCGCGGGGUAUCGGCUUGUUGGUGGGGUAGUGGCUUACCAAGGCUUUGACGGGUAGCCGGCCUGAGAGGGUGACCGGCGACCUUGGGCCUGAGGGAGGGAGCAGACGGGAAUCGGCGGCAGUAGGCGGGAGCCUGGCGCAGUGGGGGCACGUGUGAGGCGGCGGUGUUCGGUGCGUGAUGCCGUGUUUCUGGUGAUGAACAGCUGUGGACUGUGACGAAGCGAGAGUGACGGUAAUGGGUAAAGAAGCACCGGCUAACUACGUG
rnacentral:rRNA from 1 species